GACGAACGCUGGCGGCGUGCUUAACACAUGCAAGUCGAACGAAGUGGCGAAAGGGUGAGUAAUACGUGGGUAACCUGCCCCCCUUUUUGGGAUACACCAGGGAAAAGGGGUCUAAUACCGAAUAAAGGGGUAGGGGCUCGCGGCCUAUCGGCUUGUUGGUGGGGUGAGGGCCUACCAAGGCGGUGACGGGUAGCCGGCCUGAGGGGGUGACCGUCCACGAUGGGACGGAGAUACGGCUCAGGCAGCUACGAGUGGGAGCAGUGGGGGAUAGUGCGCAAUGGGGGAAGGGCUGAUGCAGCGACGCGACGUGGGGGAUGAAGGCUUACGGGUUGUAAACCUCGUUCGCAAUCGAACGGGUAGGUGGAGAAGAAGCGCCGGCUAACUCCGUGCCAGCAGCCGCGGUAAUUC
rnacentral:rRNA from 1 species